rnacentral:rRNA from 1 species
GAUGAACGCUAGCUACAGGCUUAACACAUGCAAGUCGAGGGGCAGCAUUUUUAGUUUGCUUGCAAACUAAAGAUGGCGACCGGCGCACGGGUGAGUAAACACGUAUCCAACCUGCCGAUAACUCGGGGAUAGCCUUUCGAAAGAAAGAUUAAUAUCCGAUAGUAUAUUAAAACCGCAUGGUUUUUACUAUUAAAGAAUUUCGGUUAUCGAUGGGGAUGCGUUCCAUUAGUUUGUUGGCGGGGUAACGGCCCACCAAGACUACGAUGGAUAGGGGUUCUGAGAGGAAGGUCCCCCACAUUGGAACUGAGACACGGUCCAAACUCCUACGGGAGGCAGCAGUGAGGAAUAUUGGUCAAUGGACGCGAGUCUGAACCAGCCAAGUAGCGUGAAAGGAUGACUGCCCUAAUGGGUUGUAAAACUUCUUUUUAAUAUGGGAAUAAAAGUGGUCCACGUGUGGAUUUUUGUAUCGUACCAUAUGAAUAAGGAUCGGCUAACUCCGUGCCAAGCA